GAUGAACGCUGGCGGCGUGCCUAAUACAUGCAAGUAGAGCGAACAGACGAGGAGCUUGCUCCUUUGACGUUAGCGGCGGACGGGUGAGUAACACGUGGAUAACCUACCUAUAAGACUGGGAUAACUUCGGGAAACCGGAGCUAAUACCGGAUAAUAUAUUGAACCGCAUGGUUCGAUAGUGAAAGACGGCUUUGCUGUCACUUAUAGAUGGAUCUGCGCCGCAUUAGCUAGUUGGUAAGGUAACGGCUUACCAAGGCAACGAUGCGUAGCCGACCUGAGAGGGUGAUCGGCCACACUAGAACUGAGACACGGUCCAGGGUCCUACGGGAGGCAGCAGUAGGGAAUCUUCGGCAAUGGGCGAAAGCCUGACGGAGCAACGCCGCGUGAGUGAAGAAGGUCUUCGGAUCGUAAAACUCUGUUAUUAGGGAAGAACAAACGUGUAAGUAACUGUGCACGUCUUGACGGUACCUAAUCAGAAAGCAACGGCUAACUACGUG
rnacentral:rRNA from 1 species